rnacentral:lncRNA from 1 species
CUAAGGAGCUUAGCAGCCACCGAUCAUGAACCGACAGAUGCCAGGAAAUCCUUUCCUUGUUUUGAUGAGUGCAACAAAAAGGCAACUUAUACAAUAUCUUUCACCCAUCCCAAAAAACAAGGGUCAGUGGAUGAAAAAUGGAAUCAAACAACUGUCGAGAAGUCUGUCCCCAUGAGCAUGUACCUGGUGUGCUUUGCUGUACAUCAGUUUUGUCCUGUAAAGAGAAUAUCAAAUAUUGGAAAACCUGUGAGUCUCAUUAUA